rnacentral:rRNA from 1 species
ACAGGCUUAACACAUGCAAGUCGAGGGGCAGCAUGGUCUUAGCUUGCUAAGGCCGAUGGCGACCGGCGCACGGGUGAGUAACACGUAUCCAACCUGCCGUCUACUCUUGGACAGCCUUCUGAAAGGACGAUUAAUACAAGAUGGCAUCAUGAGUCCGCAUGUUCACAUGAUUAAAGGUAUUCCGGUAGACGAUGGGGAUGCGUUCCAUUAGAUAGUAGGCGGGGUAACGGCCCACCUAGUCUUCGAUGGAUAGGGGUUCUGAGAGGAAGGUCCCCCACAUUGGAACUGAGACACGGUCCAAACUCCUACGGGAGGCAGCAGUGAGGAAUAUUGGUCAAUGGGCGAGAGCCUGAACCAGCCAAGUAGCGUGAAGGAUGACUGCCCUAUGGGUUGUAAACUUCUUUUAUAAAGGAAUAAAGUCGGGUAUGGAUACCCGUUUGCAUGUACUUUAUGAAUAAGGAUCGGCUAACUCCGUGCCAGCAGCCGCGGUAAUACGGAGGAUCCGAGCGUUAUCCGGAUUUAUUGGGUUUAAAGGGAGCGUAGAUGGAUGUUUAAGUCAGUUGUGAAAGUUUGCGGCUCAACCGUAAAAUUGCAGUUGAUACUGGAUAUCUUGAGUGCAGUUGAGGCAGGCGGAAUUCGUGGUGUGGCGGUGAAAUGCUUAGAUAUCACGAAGAACUCCGAUUGCGAAGGCAGCCUGCUAAGCUGCAACUGACAUUGAGGCUCGAAAGUGUGGGUAUCAAACAGGAUUAGAUACCCUGGUAGUCCACACGGUAAACGAUGAAUACUCGCUGUUUGCGAUAUACUGCAAGCGGCCAAGCGAAAGCGUUAAGUAUUCCACCUGGGGAGUACGCCGGCAACGGUGAAACUCAAAGGAAUUGACGGGGGCCCGCACAAGCGGAGGAACAUGUGGUUUAAUUCGAUGAUACGCGAGGAACCUUACCCGGGCUUAAAUUGCAGAUGAAUUACGGUGAAAGCCGUAAGCCGCAAGGCAUCUGUGAAGGUGCUGCAUGGUUGUCGUCAGCUCGUGCCGUGAGGUGUCGGCUUAAGUGCCAUAACGAGCGCAACCCUUGUUGUCAGUUACUAACAGGUUCCGCUGAGGACUCUGACAAGACUGCCAUCGUAAGAUGUGAGGAAGGUGGGGAUGACGUCAAAUCAGCACGGCCCUUACGUCCGGGGCUACACACGUGUUACAAUGGGGGGUACAGAGGGCCGCUACCACGCGAGUGGAUGCCAAUCCCCAAAACCUCUCUCAGUUCGGACUGGAGUCUGCAACCCGACUCCACGAAGCUGGAUUCGCUAGUAAUCGCGCAUCAGCCACGGCGCGGUGAAUACGUUCCCGGGCCUUGUACACACCGCCCGUCAAGCCAUGGGAGCCGGGGGUACCUGAAGUGCGUAACCGCGAGGAGCGCCCUAGGGUAAAACUGGUGACUGGGGCU